UUUUGUUUUUUUGUUGUUGUUUUUUUAAAUAUUUUUUUUUAUUUUAUUUUAUGCAGUCAACUUACACAUUACCCAUCAACUUUUUCAUCUGUAAGUUUAUAAUAAAUUCAUUAAUAAAUACAUAAUAAGUUAACAUAGAAUUGUGUUCAUAAUAUUUGCAAUGUUGUAAUUUUAUAAUGAUUGAAAGUAAUAUUGGCAAACAAAUUAUUGAGAACUAUGACUUCUUGGUGCUAAAUUAUAACAUUUGUUUCAGACAAUGAAAAUGACUCAAUCAACAUCAACUACCCCGAGAACUUCCACAAAAACCACUACUUCAACCACCACUCCAACCACUACCCUAACAACUACCACCACUCACAUCAAUACAUUCCAGGAGAGAACUACUACAACAUCAACUACCGCAAGUACCACGCAGACCACUACCACAAGUACCACGACAACCACUACUACACCAUCCACCACCGCUCACAUCAUCACAUUCCAGGGUAAAUAUUCUUAAUGUGAUAUUAUCAGUUUAAACAUGUUAUCUGUUUAUAUGUUCUCAAUUAACUAUUCUCUCCUUUUAUCACAGAAAGAACUACUACUACUAGUAGUGCUUUUGCUGUUGCUACUGCUGCUGCCACUACUACAACUACUACUACUACUACUACUACUACUACAACUACUACUACUACUACUACUCCUACUGCUCCUACUACUCCUACUACUAUUACUACUUCUACUACUACUAAUACUACUAUGUCUGCUUCAUUGCUUAACAAUAUAACCAUUGCUACAUCACAUACAAUUCUUCCUACUACUGCAACC